ensembl:snRNA U6 U6 spliceosomal RNA
GUGCUUGCUUCCACAGCACAUAUACUAAAAUUGGAAUAAGAGAAGAUUAGCAUGGGCCCUGCACAAGGAUGAUAUGCAAAUUCAUGAAGCAUUCCAUAUUUAA